rnacentral:rRNA from 1 species
UAGUCCACGCCGUAAACGAUGAGAACUAGCCGUUGGGGGCCUUGAGCCUUUAGUGGCGCAGCUAACGCGAUAAGUUCUCCGCCUGGGGAGUACGGCCGCAAGGUUAAAACUCAAAUGAAUUGACGGGGGCCCGCACAAGCGGUGGAGCAUGUGGUUUAAUUCGAUGCAACGCGAAGAACCUUACCAGCCCUUGACAUCCUCGGAAUCCUGCGGAGACGCGGGAGUGCCUUCGGGAACCGAGUGACAGGUGUUGCAUGGCUGUCGUCAGCUCGUGUCGUGAGAUGUUGGGUUAAGUCCCGUAACGAGCGCAACCCCCGUCCCUAUUUGCCAGCACGUAAUGGUGGGAACUCUAGGGAGACUGCCGGUGACAAACCGGAGGAAGGUGGGGAUGAUGUCAAGUCAUCAUGGCCCCUACGGGCUGGGCUACACACGUGCUACAAUGGGACGUACAGAGGGCAGCGAAGCGGCGACGUGGAGCCAACCCCAGAAAGCGUCUCGUAGUCCGGAUCGGAGUCUGC